GUAACGUCUUCUUCCGAUUUGUUGCGUAAUCAGCCUUCGACGCUCUCCGUCUGGGUAGAUCGUCGCAGUUCAUUGUUGCUUGGCUUCUCCGUUUAUGGGACUCGGAAAACAUCAAGAAGUAUGGUAAAUUCAUGGGUAUCACUCUACUUCUCCUUGAUGAGAAGGUAUUGUAUCGAAAAAAGAGAAGAUUAUGUACUUUCGUUUUUUUGGUCGCUAUAUGUUUCAGAUUGUCUCUCAUCACACUGCAAGAAACUAUAUGAAGUCAAAGAAGGCAAAUAAAAGUUUGAUUUCAAGGUGGUCACCGAGACCGUUCCAAAAUGAGCGUGAUUAUGUCCCGUUGAGCUCUAUGGCUUGGCCAAAGACGAGUCUGAUUACGGAUGAUACACAACAAGCUUCAAGAUAGAUAACAGUGACCUUCGAUAAAGGAGGCAAGCCUACUGUUAGAGUUGCUAGCCUUGGCCACGCGUUGCAUGUCUGGCUCAAUUGAGAAUACCUUGGUAAGAUGUGAGAUUGAGAAGGAUAGUGUCUUAUCUGGAGCAUAGAUUCACAUGUCACACGUAGUGUUUCCAUCUUAGGGUUGAGCUCUGGACCACUUGAUCUCACUGAGAAAAACAAAUGGGGAAACAAGGUGGGUAUUGAAAGCUAGAAGCUCUAUAUUCACACGAGAAAGGGUAGAAGAAGGUUAAGUGGCAGAAAUUCUCAGGAAAAGCAUCAGGACUUACCUGGUAUCAGGCAUACUUUGAUGCGCCAGGGGUUUAGUAAUAUUAAGUUUUCUUUUUCCAUCUGAAGAAGAUUCUUUAACGAACCAAGGAAAAUAAAUAAACAUUAUAGACUGCAUACUGGGAAAGUUGAUAACUCUGAAACAUCACAUGAGUGGUGCUAUAUCUCAUGCUCCAAGAGCUCCUGGAAACUGCAGCGUGGGCUUUCAUCUUUAGUGUGUGGAUCAUAUCAUGAUGAAAAAGCUGUUGGCAUUGUUAGGUAAUCUAUGAUGCAAUUGGUUUCAUACAUGAUUUAGGUAUGCUCACAAAAAAAAAUCAGUUUAAUCCUUACACCUAACCAGUCGUCUCUCUCUUUGAUGACAAGUACCGGGUGGAAAUGGCAGUAUCAGAUGCAUCCGACUCUGCUCUGUUUGUGGCUUUCGAUGCUGAGAUGAACAAGCUGAUCAAUGUUCCUGCUGCAUGGGCACCAGCAUGGAGGAUGCACAUGACAUUGCCUUCCCACAGUGCCUCAGAGACAUACUGGGGAGGGCCUUAACAUUCCAGCAGAAACUUUCAAGGUUUAAUUUUUCAUCGAAGCAUCAGUCAUUCACCUUAACCAGAGCUUCCCCUUCCAGAUUUUGCAGAGCAGGAGCUAUAUAUAGAGAUACUUCUGAAGCUCUUUAAAGAGGUGCUCCAGUCAACAACGGCAGACCCAUUACUCAUGUCAUGGUGGAAGGCAAGAAACAGCCUCUAAACCUACCAAAAACCAUGUUCGAAAUGGUUAAGCUUCAGAUUACUGGAGCCUAAUGGAAUGUUGCAGACUUCCACAACUGCUUUUUGUCGUUUUCUUAAAAAAAAUCUUUAAUAAAUGUUUACUUGAGCUAUUUGGCUCUGUAUUUCAGAUGACUUAGAAAAGAGCCUCCUUCAAUUAUUUAUGUGUACUUGAGCUAUUUGGCUAUGUAUUUCAAAUGAAUUAUAAAAUAGACUCCUUCAACUAA